CACCACGUUGUCUCUUCUCACGUUAAAUCAGAAGAUUGAUCGCUUUUGAUGUCUCUAAGUGUAAAGUUAAAGCUCCCAGGAUCCACACCUUAGAUCCAUGCCACAACUGUCACAUGUUCAGAAGUGACACAGCUUCUCAAAACCAUGCAAGGUAUGCAGGAGGACUGGCCGAGCUGAGUGGUGGACGGAUCAAGGCCCUGCAGCUCCCCGCUGUUGGAAGCAGCUGUCUCACAGGGCAAGUGUUUGUUCCCAGAUCUGGAGCACAGUGGUUCAUGAUUCCUCAAUUAAAGGACAACUUAGCUGUGCACUAACGUGGCCAUCACAUGCUGGAUUCAGCUGAUGGAGUAGCAGGAAGGGGUUACCUUUGGGAAGAGAGAUGCAGCCUCUGGAGGUCCUCAAGGGGCUCUAGUCUGAAGCGUCAGAACACGUCUGACCAUCUCCUGGCUCAAGUUCAACAAGAAGAGAGCAGCAGGGGCCACAUCAGCAGUGCUGUGCAUACUAAGAGACUAUACCUACAAAAGCAACCACUAGCUCAAGACCACUA